rnacentral:rRNA from 1 species
UACGUAGGGGGCCAGCGUUGUCCGGAAUCAUUGGGCGUAAAGCGCGCGUAGGCGGUCAGGUAAGUCCGGUGUGAAAGUCAAAGGCUCAACCUUUGAAAGCCGGUGGAUACUGCAGGGCUAGAGUCCGGAAGAGGCGAGUGGAAUUCCUGGUGUAGCGGUGGAAUGCGCAGAUAUCAGGAGGAACACCAAUAGCGAAGGCAGCUCGCUGGGACGGUACUGACGCUAAGGCGCGAAAGCGUGGGGAGCGAACAGG